rnacentral:rRNA from 1 species
UAGAGUUUGAUCCUGGCUCAGAACGUACGCUGGCGGCACGCCUAACACAUGCAAGUCGAACGAAGUAGCAAUACUUAGUGGCAGACGGGUGAGUAACAUGUAGGUAUCUGCCCUUUGGCCUGGAAUAACACGAGGAAACUUGUGCUAAUACCGGAUAAGUCUUUACGGAGAAAGCUUUAUGCACCAUUGGAUGAGCCUGCACUUGAUUAGUUUGUUGGUGGGGUAAUGGCCUACCAAGACUUUGAUCAAUAGCUGAUUUGAGAGGAUGAUCAGCCACAUUGGGACUGAGACACGGCCCAAACUCCUACGGGAGGCAGCAGUGGGGAAUCUUGCACAAUGGAGGAAACUCUGAUGCAGCAAUGCCGCGUGAGUGAAGAAGGCCCUUGGGUUGUAAAGCUCUUUCGUCGGGGAAGAAAAUGACUGUACCCGAAUAAGAAGGUCCGGCUAACUUCGUGCCAGCAGCCGCGGUAAUACGAAGGGACCUAGCGUAGUUCGGAAUUACUGGGCUUAAAGAGUUCGUAGGUGGUUGAAAAAGUUGGUGGUGAAAUCCCAGAGCUUAACUCUGGAACUGCCAUCAAAACUUUUCAGCUAGAGUUUGAUAGAGGAAAGCAGAAUUUCUAGUGUAGAGGUGAAAUUCGUAGAUAUUAGAAAGAAUACCAAUUGCGAAGGCAGCUUUCUGGAUCAUUACUGACACUGAGGAACGAAAGCAUGGGUAGCGAAGAGGAUUAGAUACCCUCGUAGUCCAUGCCGUAAACGAUGUGUUUUAGACGUUGGAAAUUUAUUUUCAGUGUCGCAGCGAAAGCGAUAAACACACCGCCUGGGGAGUACGACCGCAAGGUUAAAACUCAAAUGAAUUGACGGGGACCCGCACAAGUAGUGGAGCAUGUGGUUUAACUCGAAGAUACGCGCAGAACCUUACCAACACUUGACAUGUUCGUCGCGACUUUAAGAGAUUAAAGUUUUCGGUUCGGCCGGACGAAACACAGGUGCUGCAUGGCUGUCGUCAGCUCGUGUCGUGAGAUGUUGGGUUAAGUCCCGCAACGAGCGCAACCCUCACUUUUAGUUGCCAUCAUUUAGUUGGGCACUCUGAAAGAACUGCCAGUGAUAAGCUGGAGGAAGGUGGGGAUGACGUCAAGUCCUCAUGGCCCUUACGUGUUGGGCUACACACGUGCUACAAUGGUAUCUACAACAGGAAGCAAGACGGCGACGUUUAGCAAAUCCUUAAAAGAUACCUCAGUUCGGAUUGCACUCUGCAACUCGAGUGCAUGAAGCUGGAAUUACUAGUAAUCGUGGAUCAGCGUGCCACGGUGAAUGCGUUCCCGGGUCUUGUACACACCGCCCGUCACACCAUGGGAGUUGGUUCUACCUUAAGGCAAGGUUUUAAACCCUUGACCACGGUAUAGUCAGCGACUGGGGUGAAGUCGUAACAAGGUAACCA